rnacentral:pre_miRNA from 12 species
GCUCCUGGCUAACCAGCACCAGUUCUUCAGUGGCAAGCUUUAUGUCCUUCUCCAGUAGCUAAAGCUGCCAGUUGAAGAACUGUUGAAUGUAGCCACUCUC